GAUGAACGCUCGCUACAGGCUUAACACAUGCAAGUCGAGGGGAAACGACAUUGAAGCUUGCUUCGACGGUCGUCGACCGGCGCACGGGUGAGUAACGCGUAUCCAACCUGCCUCUGACCAAGGGAUAACCCGUCGAAAGUCGGCCUAAUACCUUAUGCAGUCGUCGGAAGUCAUCUGAUGACGACGAAAGAUUUCAUCGGUGAGAGAUGGGGAUGCGUCUGAUUAGCUUGUUGGCGGGGUAACGGCCCACCAAGGCAACGAUCAGUAGGGGUUCUGAGAGGAAGGUCCCCCACAUUGGAACUGAGACACGGUCCAAACUCCUACGGGAGGCAGCAGUGAGGAAUAUUGGUCAAUGGGCGAGAGCCUGAACCAGCCAAGUAGCGUGCAGGAUGACGGCCCUAUGGGUUGUAAACUGCUUUUAUGCGGGGAUAAAGUGAGGGACGUGUCCUUCAUUGCAGGUACCGCAUGAAUAAGGACCGGCUAAUUCCGUG
rnacentral:rRNA from 1 species